GUCGAGAAUUUUUCACAAUGGGCGCAAGCCUGAUGGAGCGACGCCGCGUGGGGGAUGAAUGGCUUCGGCCCGUAAACCCCUGUCAUUUGCGAUCAACCGUUAUUAUUUAAAAGAUGAUGACCUGAUGGUAGCGAAAGAGGAAGGGACGGCUAACUCUGUGCCAGCAGCCGCGGUAAUACAGAGGUCCCAAGCGUUGUUCGGAUUCACUGGGCGUAAAGGGUGCGUAGGUGGUGGGGUAAGUCGGAUGUGAAAUCUCGGAGCUCAACUCCGAAAUGGCAUUGGAAACUGCCCUGCUUGAGGGUCGGAGGGGGGACUGGAAUACUUGGUGUAGCAGUGAAAUGCGUAGAUAUCAAGUGGAACACCAGUGGCGAAGGCGAGUCCCUGGACGACUCCUGACACUGAGGCACGAAAGCUAGGGGAGCAAACAGGAUUAGAUACCCCAGUAGUCC
rnacentral:rRNA from 1 species